rnacentral:rRNA from 1 species
CAGUAGCCGCGGUAAUACGGAGGGUGCAAGCGUUAAUCGGAAUUACUGGGCGUAAAGCGCACGCAGACGGUCUGACAAGUCAGAUGUGAAAUCCCCGGGCUUAACCUGGGAACUGCAUUUGAAACUGUCAGGCUGGAGUCUUGUAGAGGGGGGUGGAAUUCCAGGUGUAGCGGUGAAAUGCGUAGAGAUCUGGAGGAAUACCGGUGGCGAAGGCGGCCCCCUGGACAAAGACUGACGCUCAGGUGCGAAAGCGUGGGGAGCAAACAGGAUUAGAUACCCGGGUAGUCCCUGUCUCUUAUAC